GACGAACGCUGGCGGCGUGCUUAACACAUGCAAGUCGAACGGAAAGACCCUGCUUUUGUUUCUUUCUCGUUUGGCGAACGCGUGAGUGACACGUGAGUAUCCUCCCCUUGACUUUGUGAUAACUUCUGGAAACUCGGUCGCAUACCGGAUAUAAUCUCCUGCUGCAUGUUGUUGAUUGGAAAAUUUCGGCGUUUGUGUAUGGACUCGCGGCUUAUCAGCUUGUUUGUGUGGUAGUUACUUACCAAGGCUUUGACGGGUAGCCUGCCUGAGAGGGUGAACGGCCACAUUGGGACUGAGAUACGGACCAGACGCCUACGGGAGGCAGCAGUGGGGAAUAUUGCACAAUGGGCGGAAGCCUGAUGCAGAAACGCCGCGUGCGGGAUGACGGCCUUUGGGUUGUAAACAGAUGUCGAAUGUGACGAAGAGUGCGUGACGGUAAUGGGUAAAGAAGCAACGGCUAACUACGUG
rnacentral:rRNA from 1 species